GAUGAACGCUGGCGGCGUGCCUAAUACAUGCAAGUCGAGCGAACAGACGAGGAGCUUGCUCCUCUGACGUUAGCGGCGGACGGGUGAGUAACACGUGGAUAACCUACCUAUAAGACUGGGAUAACUUCGGGAAACCGGAGCUAAUACCGGAUAAUAUAUUGAACCGCAUGGUUCAAUAGUGAAAGACGGUUUUGCUGUCACUUAUAGAUGGAUCCGCGCCGCAUUAGCUAGUUGGUAAGGUAACGGCUUACCAAGGCGACGAUGCGUAGCCGACCUGAGAGGGUGAUCGGCCACACUGGAACUGAGACACGGUCCAGAAUCCUACGGGAGGCAGCAGUAGGGAAUCUUCCGCAAUGGGCGAAAGCCUGACGGAGCAACGCCGCGUGAGUGAUGAAGAUCUUCGGAUCGUAAAACUCUGUUAUUAGGGAAGAACAAAUGUGUAAGUAACUAUGCACGUCUUGACGGUACCUAAUCAGAAAGCCACGGCUAACUACGUG
rnacentral:rRNA from 1 species